AGGCUCUUCCAGCUGCGGAAGGGGAAGCCUGGCCUCUGGAUCCUCCAGGAGGCUGCCACGGGGCAGGGAAGCAUUGUUACCCGAGUCACGGGCCCUGCAGCUGGAGGGGGAUUUCCAAGGCCUUUGGAGUAGUGAGGUGAGAGAGUGUCAGGGAGGGACAACACAGGGCAGGCUGUCAUUGCCAAGCAUGGAUGACAGGGACCCAUGGGUGGCUUCCAGAUAGCCAAUCUUACCCUUUCUUGGUCAAUUUCUCUUGGUGGGUUCAACAGUAUCUUUUCAGGGAGAGGGUCCAUAGCUUUAUCAAUAUUAUCAGAAAGGUCUGGGUUCAAAGGCUGGUUCUUCACUUUAAUGGGGGCAAUUGUUAGCAAAUAACAUAUCCCCUGAGCCUCAGUUUCCCUAUCUGUUCAGUAGGGAAAAUAGCAUUUCCUCACAGGUUGGGGAUGAGCUAAGUUGCUGGCCCGGUGGACGUUUCGGUGUCCCUAACGCCCCUUCCUAUGCCUUCUGCUGAGGCAGAUACCCAUGUCUGCCGGGAGGGAUGUGUGAUCUGUGGGGGCAUUUCAUCUGGCAGUUACAAGUGUGAUAUUAUCCCUCCACAAAGCCCUCAUUAUAGUCCUGCUGACAAUACCACAGAUAAAGCAGGGAUGCCCCUGCGUGCCAGCCUCCAGGUGAUUAUAACAUUUGGGUAAAUUGCCUUUUGUCUUGCUGGAGAGCUAGCAGUGGGAGGGGCUGUGCGGGAGUUUCACUGGCCAUCUUACAGAAAACCCCAGGGAGGCUCUAUGGAGAGGUAGCAUGGGUUUAGGGCAGGAGCUGUGAUUGGCAGUGGGAAAUCAGGGUUCUAGCUCUGGCUGGACCACCAUUGAUGGUGUGAGGGUCAGGUAUGCGAUGGGCCCACUUGGGGGAAGUAGCUGCUUCGAGAUUAGAGGAGUCUUGACUUUCCACAGGACUGGAGGACUCGGAUUUUGAGCAUAAAGUAAGCAGAGGACCUAAGUGAAAGUAGCCAUCUGUGGUUCAGCCUGUUUCGUGUCUCGCUCUGGGCCAGCCCUUGGUUCUGUCACCAGUGAGAACCCCGUGUUCUCACUUUGAGCCAGCACAAAUGCCAUCGUUAUUCAUUUGGAGCUUCCUGGAUGUGUGUUUUAAUUCCAGCCAGGAGUUUCACCUCACCUCAGUCUCACCACCUGCAGAAUAGGAAUGAUCAGGAGAGCCACAGAACUCUCCUGAUCAAGGUUGCGGGUGUCAUAUGAGGUGGGGGCCUGUGCCUGAGACACAGCAGGGGCGCUCAGUAAAAACUGUCAUAAGAAUAUCCUGCAGGCUCCUUUGCCCCUCCAGUUGGGCAUUUAGGAUGGUCACAGAUUUCAACUGUUUAAACUUCAGAACACUAGAGUGGCCUUCUGUUUUCAGGUCUUUGGUCUGCAGUCUGCAUAUUCUAAAGUCGGCUGGGGUGACACCCGGCCAGGCCCCUGUGAACAGGCCUGGUAGAAUGGAAAGAGAAGGCAGAUGAGCCCAAGUGUGAUUCCCAUCUAUGCUGGAUUUCCAGGGGAGUGGGGAUUCUUUAACCUCAGUGAGCCUCAGUUUGUCAAAUAUAGCUGACAGGAGAACUCUCCUACAAAAUGGUAGAUGUUCAGUCAGUGAUAGCUGUCAUCACCACCUUCCUCCCAAAGCCUCCAAACCACAGAAGACAGGUCACAAUCUUUCUUCCCACUGUCCACUGAACUAAGCGUACAUUCAAAUGAGGUUCACGGUCUUAAUUGUGAAUUCUGUCUGGGACCCGCAGGUUCAAGCAUAAAAUGGGCCUCUCUGCAAAUAAUCACUGGCGUGUGAUAUUUUUAAGAAAGCAAAGCCAUUGUUUCUGAUUGAAGGAAAGUCAGUGCUGUUUUGAAGAGAAGCACGAUUAGGCAGUGGCGCUCUCUUUCACCACUGGGAAUUAGACGCCGUUUGAGAGAUUUGUGAGCUCCAGGACAUUUGCCAGAUGUGCUUGAUUCUACAUUUCAGACAACAAAGGGGAUAAUGUUGGCGGGAAUCUUGACGGCACUGCUGAUGAUCGGGAUAUUCUUUGAGGAUGGUACUGAGACCUUUCAGGGGAGGAUUUCAGCUUUUACAUAAACUAAUUUGGGAUGCUCACUCUCUGUCUUGCACAAAGCAAAUUUAGUUCAUUGUUAGCUGUAUCUGCUAAAAUGGUUACAAGGGUUUUUUUCCUUGAAUAUUAAUAAUGCGCCUUUCAUUGGAGAUGCUCGAAUGGGGUGUCAUUAAUUGGGGGGGGGGUAGUAAGGAUUAGUGGUAUAGUUCUCUCCAAAAUGGUUACUACUAAUACCAUGAGGCAAGCAACAGCCACAGGAAAAAGAUGCGUGACAAAACAUGGCUUUGGCUUACUCUUCCUGAGAAGGGGGAAGGCAAGGUGUGUGCAGGGGCAUCAUUAGUUAAUCUCCAGGGUUUUCAUUAUAUUAAAGGUAAUUAUCCUGAACAUCUUCAAAUGCUCCCAUAUUGGGGCGCAGUGUAUAAAGGGCCUCUUUUCAAAUAAGGUUAAAUUUAAUUUGGAAGGCUGUUGUGGCUUUGUCUUAAGACUCUAGAGUGUGUCAUUUCGUCUAUUUGGGACCCUCGCUGAGCUCUAGGUGGAUGCCAGUGACUAGUUUUGGUAGAGGAACAAUUAAGAAUCAGGAAUGACCAUGUCUACAGAGAAGACGGAUGAGCAGAAAGUGAAUUUGUGCACAAACUGGCAAGAAGAAAAGAAGAAUGUAGUUAACCAGCUUCCUGUGACUGUAUCAAAAUAACUGAGGCAAUUAAUUUAUAAAGAGAGAAAGUCUAUUUAGCUCAUGUUGUAAAAGAUUCCUGUCCAAGAUCAGCAGCCUGGUUGCUUUGGGCCUCUGCUGAGGGUGGCACAUCAGUACAAGUGUCAUGUGAAGGGCAAACUGUGAAACUGCAAGCCAAAGCCAAGCAGAAAAACUGGAACAGAGGUCUCACAAGGUCUUUCAAUGGCAUGCAUCCAGUGACCUAAGGACCUCCCCUCGGGUUUUACCUCUUCAUGACACCACCUGGUGCCCAAGCCUUCUCCCUGGGGGCCUGUGAAGGACAGUGCCUACAUUUGAACCAUAGCAAACAGACUUGGGGUUUUGGUCUAACUUUGUUAACAGCUGUGUGACCAACCAAAAACUAAUUCUGUUUAUAAAAGGCUUAUUUU
rnacentral:lncRNA from 1 species